UGAAAUUCAUUUUAUUUUUCACAUAAUCCUCAUCCCCUUUUUCUUCGUCUUCUUCUUCUUUCGUCAAUCUCUGUAGUGUCUCCUUCUCUCUGCCUAAGUUAAAAAUGCAAACAGUCUGAAACAGCAAGGAAUUUGUCAAGCUUUCAUGGCUUUUCAGAUUGAACCCUCCAGUGAACCCCACGAACAAAACCCACUUACUUUCAUCACCCAUCUCUUUCAUUCUUCUACCUCAAAUUUCUCAACCCUUUUCGCCAAUCCUCAAUCCAUUCCCCCAUUUCCCUUCCAAUCCUCUUCUUCUAAGCUAUGUAUUCCAGUCGCAUUCCCGCCCUCCCCAAAACCCCCUUUUCUUUCCCACUCAGGCUUUCACUCAAUUCAUUAUGACCUCGAUUCCCCCAAAUCCGCGGCUGUAAAGGGUUUGUCGUCGUCGCCCAACUUUGACUCUGGUUUUCCGUCGACACUCAGGAUUUCAGGCCUUAAUUCCGAUGGAAAAACUGGCGGCCCAGCGUUUGUUGGCCAGGUCUUCAGUAUGUGCGACCUUUCUGGGGCUGGUCUUAUGGCCGUUACGUCUAAUAUGAACAUUCCUUUCGUUUCUAAGAGAACUGAAGAGUGGCUUAAGAAGAUGUUCUCAACCAUUACUAAGAGUAAAAGAAAUGCCCCCAUAUUCCGCUUCUUUACUGAUUUAGGUGAUGCAGUUACAUAUGUUAAGCGACUAAAUAUUCCAAGUGCUGUGGUGGGGGUAUGUCGUCUUGAUUUAGCAUACGAGCAUUUCAAGGAAAAACCUCAUCUGUUUCAGUUCAUUCCGAAUGAGAAACAAGUUAAAGCAGCAAACAAGCUUCUUAAAGGCCUACCUCAAAAUGGUGGAAGCAAAAAGAUUGAUGGCGUUCCUGUGUUCAGUGCUCAGAACUUGGAUAUUGCAAUAGCAACUACCAAUGGGAUAAAGUGGUACACUCCUUAUUUUUUUGAUAAAAACAUGCUCGAUAAUAUUCUUGAAGAAUCUGUUGAUCAGCAUUUUCAUGCUUUAAUCCAAACUCGGCGUUUGCAGCGCCGGAGGGAGAUAGUUGAUGAUAAUGCAGCAGCAGAAGUUCUUGAAGAGAUGGGCGAUAGUUUGUUGGAGCCUCCAGAGGUUCAAGAAGUGAUGGAUGAGAUGGGCAAUCCUGGAAUACCCUUGAGUGUCAUCUCUAAGGUUGCUGAAAUGCAGCUCCUUUAUACCGUUGAUAAAGUAAUUCUUGGAAAUAGAUGGUUGCGUAAAGCUGUUGGUAUUCAACCCAAAUUCCCUUACAUGGUCGACUCAUUUGAGAGAAGGAGUGCAGCUUCUCUCCUAAGAAUCCAAGAGUCUGCUAGUGGUCUUACCAACUCUGAAUCAGUGGAGGAAACCAAAGAGCUUCAGUGUUAUAGUUCAUCACCUCUCAACACUGAAGAUAAUAGGGAAGCCAAUCAAGAACCUAAGCAGCAUUCCUUCAAUCCUUUUAGAAACUGGUUUGGUCAUCUAUGGUCAAAACAACGCCAAAGGGAUGACUUCUCUCAGGAACGUACAAAACAAAAUGUGCAGAUAAGUCCCUUUCUCCCCAAAAUAACAAUGGUGGGUAUAUCUACUGGUGACUCAGGGCACACGAGUAAAGCCAAUUUAAAGAAGACAAUGGAAGAUUUGACUAGAGAACUAGAACAUAUAGAUCAGGGAAAUGCUGCUAGUCAUAAUGAGUAUGAGUUCAACAAUGAAGAAAGGGAUCCAUUAUUUGUUGCAAAUGUCAGUCAUUUCUCCUCGGGCUUGUCAAAGGCAGGAUCGGCACGGUGGGUUCGAGGAAAUGAUUAAAGGACCUUUCCAAUGUCAUGAAUCCGAACUACUCUUUUUAACAACUCCAGUUUUCCCAGAUGCUGAGAGCAGGAUAUCAACAAUCAUCAUAACAGAAGCAAGCAGAGAGACAGAGAGACAGAGAGAGAGAGAAGCUGCAGGCUGCUGCGUGUAAGUAUUACAAAUCUAUUUUUUGUCUACACUUGUUUCUCUUUUCUCUAAAACUUACAUGGCUCUAGAAUCGCAAUGAUUGUAUGUUCAACUUCAGUGGUCUGUCUAUUCAUGUGGAAUUGGAACUGUUAUGUUAUAGCUUCUUUCUUUAGAUAAUGGAUUUGAAAGAAUCUAUACUAAAGAUUAAGAGGGAUAUUGCUUCCUUUUUGUGGCCAAGCAUUUACUGAAAUUGCUA